rnacentral:rRNA from 1 species
UACGUAGGGAGCGAGCGUUAUCCGGAAUUACUGGGUGUAAAGGGUGCGCAGGCGUCUUGUUGUGUUAGGAGUUAAAUUUCAAGGCUUAACCUUGGGGCUGCUCCUAAAACUGGCAGGAUAGAGUGUGGAAGACGGAAGUGGAAUUUCUAGUGGAGAGGUAAAAUCCGUUGAUAUUAGAAGGAACACCCGUGGUGUAAACGGCUUCCGAGUCCAUAACUGACGCUCAGGCACGAAAGCUAGGGUAGCAAACAGGAUUAGAUACCCUGGUAGUCCUAGCCAUAAACGAUGAAUACUUGGUGGUGGGCAGUUCAAUCUGUUCGCCGCCGGAGCUAACGCGUUAAGUAUUCCACCUGGGGACUACGGCCGCAAGGUUGAA